UUGACAGCCCUGGAGACUGAAGUCCUCUAUUUAUCCACAGAACAGAUACAGCGCGGGCAGCGGCAGUGGCAGUGCAAGCUUCCCUCACACUGCCUCCACCCUGUGCCUGAACGCUGAGUUGGAGGAACCACCUGUAAAGGUGAGAGGGGUUGUUCAGUCUCCACGCCCAUUCAAUCCUCGGCCUCG
rfam:Alligator mississippiensis ScZkoYb_2138.1, whole genome shotgun sequence.